ACUCUGCCCAGCCAUGCCACUUGCUCCAACCCUGUGCAGAGGUGGCCUCUCUGCAGCUCCUGGUGGGGUCGCAGGGAUCACACCGAGCUUGGCAGCUCCCACAUGUGUCCCCAAACCUCUCGGCUUACAGGUGCUCCUUAGCGCCCCAGUGCCUCCGCAUGUUCUCUGCUGCUUGCUCUCCAGCUUACUCCAGACAUUUCCCCUCCAGACAUCUCCGUGUUCCCAGGGAGGCUGCUCCAGUGUCUGCGAGGCUGGAUGGGAAUGGGGCUGGGUGGUGGGGACGGUGAUGGCCCCACAGCCUGGCCGCCCCACCCAGCUGGAGGCACGUUCCUGCCAAACCAGCCCCAGGGGAAUGAGUGCUGGAAAAGACCCAGACGGAUCUAAGAGAGAUCUGAAAAGAAGUCAGCCCUCCCCCGAAGUGAUGCGAAUGGCUUCCUGGGAACAAUGAGAUGCUGAGUUGGGUCUUCACCAAAAUCAGAAUGAUUUUUAGAUAUGAGCACAGUGAUCUCCUGGGAGAGCUGUUGGCUGAGUGUGAGUGUACAAGGCUCACCCCAUUCAUCCUGCGGGAGAUGGUCAUGGCCCUUCAGAAGAAGCCGUGUGAAAUCUGCAGCCGUGACCUGCUCUAUGGGCACAUCGUGCAGCCCCCAUGUGCGGCCGCAGCUACGUGGAGCCACGGCCUCAUGGAGAGAAGCACAAGGACCAUGUCUCAGACAACACCCCUCAAACACCAGUCUUCAUGACUACUGCAAACAGGAAAAAUCCGACCUGAAGCUAUAAGGAGGAGGGAAAUUAAAGGCUACAGGAGGAAUGCAUUCUGCUGAGAAAUGAGCAAGGACUGAGCAAAAAAAAAAAACAGUUCCAGAGGGCGACACUCCUGAUAGCUCCCAGCACGGCCUGGUGGGAGAAAGGAUCAACAGCCCAGGACGUUCCUGCAGAGCUGGGAGUAGGCUCAUGAUGGUGCCCAUGACCAUGAAACCCCCUGUGAGGAAGGAGGACUGCGGGUAAAGGAUGGGCAGUGCCAGAGAAGGUGGGACAAGAGCAUGAUUGUCAAUGGGACAGUCCACUUGGUGAGGAGUGGGCUGGCCAAUCCUAUUACGAGGCCCCAAUCUAAAAUCUGGGAAAGGUCCUGGUGAUCAGGGAAAUUUCUGAUUAUUGUAAAGAGGCAAAUGCCAAAUCCGAUUUCAGAAAGGGCAAGAAGGAGGAUCUGGAGAAUGACCCUUUAUUUCCUCAGAAGGUGGUGGAGUAAAUGCUCCUGGAAGCCAUUUCUGGGCACAUGGAGGACCCGAACAACCCCACAACAAAGCAGCUGGCUGGGUGGACAAUGGGAGACCAGGGGAUGUUCAUCUGGACUUUGGCAAGGCCUUUGGCUUGGUUUCCUCCAGGAGAGACAGGGACUGGAUGUUGGGUGGAGAACUGGUUAGGCCACCAGGCUCAGACUGACUAGCAGUAUGAAGGCCAGCUGAUGCUGGUGGUUCACAUUCCUCAGGGAUCAACUGUAGGACCGACACCAUUUAACACCUUAUCAAUGAGCUGGUGGGGUCUCAGCAGGUGUGCGCGUGAUGCCAAAUGGAUGAUAGAGGUCAAUCUGCUGCAGAUGGGACCAGAGAGGCCUCAGCAAGCCUUGGGCUGCAGGGAACCUCCCAGAGCUGAGCAAGCUAUGCUGACCCCAUUGGUGGUACCUGCCCCUGUGUGUGCCUGAAGCAGCCCCUCUAACAUGUACAGCAGCUUCUGUAGGAGUCUGCUUCUGGGUCUGGGCUUCUUCUGGAAAUGAGAUAAAAGUCCCUACUAAUUAUGCAAAAACAGUAUUGUCCUGGAAAUGCCUCAUCAGACUGUGCAGCAAGAAAAAGAGUGCGGUUUAAACUACAGCCCCACACCGAUGGAAAGGAGGACAAUUGCAUAAUUGCUCUGAACUCCAGUACUGACUACAGCUGUAUGCUGAUGGUACCGACGCAGUUCUUCUAGUGGGGAUGAUGUCUCGUGACUGGUG